UACGGAGGGUGCAAGCGUUAUCCGGAUUCACUGGGUUUAAAGGGUGCGUAGGCGGGCAGGUAAGUCAGUGGUGAAAUCUCCGAGCUUAACUCGGAAACUGCCAUUGAUACUAUUUGUCUUGAAUAUUGUGGAGGUAAGCGGAAUAUGUCAUGUAGCGGUGAAAUGCUUAGAUAUGACAUAGAACACCAAUUGCGAAGGCAGCUUACUACACAAUGAUUGACGCUGAGGCACGAAAGCGUGGGAAUCAAACAGG
rnacentral:rRNA from 1 species